ACGGUCCAUAUUGUUUCAGCCAUUAAAGCACCAAACUCUUGAUGAUUAUUGGAUGCCUUGGUUGUUAAAGCUUCCGCUUAAAUCAAGAAAACAGAGCAAAACUCUGUCCAUUUGAACUCUUGAGCAAACUCUCUAUUCUUCAUUCUCCUUUAUUUCUGCCCAUUCUAUUCACUUACACUAAUCUUUCACCAAUUUUGUUUGUUGCCCAUUAACUCUAAUCUGUUUUGCAAGAAAUCGCUUGUCUCAUGAAGAGAAGGCGAAUGCAUUUGUUAGAGAUUAAGGGCUGGAGAAUCUGGGCACUUUAAGUUUGCGGGAGGGUUAGAACCAUUCACCAUCAUACUUGA
rnacentral:lncRNA from 1 species